AGAACACGCCAUUAACAAGGCCAGAACCCCGACUGCCAUUCCUGGACGGGAGCCACCAACACCCGCAAAAUCGAUCGAUUCAGCCUGGGACGCUUGCUGUUUCCGAACCUCUGUUGCCACCUAUCCCAGUUUGGAGGGAAUUUUCCCAAGGAUGGUGAAGAAGGGAUUUCCACACGCCGCCUCACUCAGCCCCGCACCCCUGGCCACCAGCCAGGACUUAGGGUGUAGCUUCAUGACCACACUGCUGUAGGAAGCCAUAAGUUGGAAAUCAACGGGCCUGGCUUGAAGUGUGGCCUUAGGCAACACCGUUCUCAUCUACAUCUGGAUUCUCCAACAAAGCUGGGAAAAAAACGAUCCAAGGGAAGCCAAUCAAAGAGCCUGGAUUGCCAGUCUUCCCUGCUGCGAUCUCCGCCUGCGAUUCUCCAGGGGAAAUGUCCUUUAUGACCUUACAGCUCACCUGGAACCCUCCACCUAGGGCCCGAGGCAGCACAUCCUCUCGUGCCCGGGCACUUCCAGGCAUUGCCCUGAGUACUGGGCACUUCACACACUGGGCUGGACCACUCACCGGAGUGAAUAAGGAGGCUUGAAGCUGUCCUGGUACAACAAUGGAAUGAAGCGCUAGUCUCAGCUCAGCCACUUGGAAUAUGACUCCAACUCUCACAUUUCUGUGGGGUGUAUUCAUUUCAGCUUUUUGUUUGGUGCUAUGGGGAGGGAAGGGCCCUCAGACUGGCAUCCUUUUUCUUCCAGGAUGAUGAUGAAUAUUAUGAAAGUCUGAGGCUGUUUUUAAAAUUCUGCUCUAAUACGUUGUUUUUCUGUGCAUAAGAAUUAUGUAUUCUUAGCUGCAAAACUGGAAUCCGUCUGCUCAUGGAUAAACUUCUGGCCAUGAGCAUGUACCUUUCAGGUAACUUCCCUAUCAGAGAAGCUUACAAUCAAGAAUCCUACUUCCCUAGUUCCCUACACAGGCCCAGGAGGCUUUUGGUGGUAUCCGCUGGACUUUUGAAAAUUAGGGAAUUUCUCCUACUCUGAACUCUACCAGGAAUCACAUAUCAAGAUCUCAGUACCAUCUUACCUAGACCCUCUUGACCUCUUCUUUCUCCAUAAUCUCUUUCUAGCUCAUGUCAUCCAGACUCGAGGGCCCCAUUCUCAGUUUGACACUGAGGACACCCACGCUAUUAUCUCUGGCUGUGACCUUUCCCACGAGCUCCAAAUUCACACCAUCUUUUGACGUCUCCACUUAACUUCCCCAUUUCGGUGUCUCAAACUUGACAAUUCAAAACAGAACUCCCUCCCACUUCCAAACUGGUUUCCUACCCAACUUUCCCAGGCCCCCAGUUUCUCAAGUCAGAAAUCUAUGAGUCAUCCUUGAUGUUUGCCAUUCCCUCAUCCCUCCCAUCCAACCCAUUCGUAGGCUCUUGGGAAUCUACCUCCAAAAUGUCUCUGGAAUCCAUCCUCUUCUCUCCACCUCCACUGCCAACCGCCUCUCACCUGCAAUAGCUCUGAGGCAGCCUCCCCACUUCUUCUGCCUCCCAUCCCCACCCCUACAUAUUCCUGUCCUAUCUCCACCCAGAAGCAAACAAGAUCUUCUUUAACUGUAAAUUGGUUCACAUCUCCCCUGCUUAGAACUUUCCAAGGCCUUGACAUUAUUCCAAGAUCAAGACCAAACUCUUGACUGUGGCCAGUGAGACCUUUCCUGAACUGGUCCUACCUACCUCUGCAAACCCAUCUAGUGACACCUUUCCCUUAGCUUGCCUCCAACAUAGUGUAUUAGUUUCCUAUGGCUGCUGCAGGAAAUGACACAAAUUAUCCCCUUAUAGUCGUGGAAGCCAGAAGUCCAAAAUGGGCUGGAGCCAAGGCAGGCAGGGCUAUGCUGCUUGCAGAGGUUCUAGGGGAGAAUCUAUUUCUUGGUCUUCUUUGGCUUCUAGAGCUGCAAUCCUUGGCUCAUGGCGCCUUCCUCCACCUUCAGAGCCAGCAGUGUAGCAUCUUACUUGGUGAUCACAUUUCUUUCUUCUCCAGUGUCAUAUUUCCCUUUGCUUUACAUUGUCCUUUAAAUUUCUCUUAUAAGGAAACUGCGAUUGCAUUUAAGACCCACCCAGGUAAUCCAAGAUGAUCUUCCCAUCUCAAGACCCUUAACUGAAUCCCACCUCCAAAGUCCCUUUUGCCAGGUAAGGCAACAUUCCCAGGUCCCGGGGAUUAGGAUCUACAUAUGUUCGGGAGUGACUAUUGAGCCUACCAUGCAUACCACGCUCCUUCCCUCACCAGGGUCUUUGUACCUCUUGUCCCCCAUUACUAGAAUGCUCCCUUCUUCCCUCUCACUCUUUGCUUGGCCAUAUCUUUCUCAUUCUUGGGGACACAGCUUACCUGGCACCUCCUCAGACAACCUGUCUCGGACCAGCCCCUUAACAGCCUGAAGACUUUUUUUUUUUUUUUUUUGAUACGGAGUCUUGCUCUGUUGCCCAGGCUAGAGUGCAGUAGUGUGAUCUCAGCUCACUGCAACCUCUGCCUCCCGGGUUCAAGCAGUUCUCCUGCUUCAACCUCCCAAGUAGCUGGGAUUACAGGCACCUGCUACCAUGCCCGGCUAAUUUUUGUAUUUUUAGUAGAGACAGGGUUUCACCAUGUUGGCCAGGCUGGUCUCGAACUCCCGACCGCAAGUGAUCUGCCCACCUUGGCCUCCCAAAGUGCUGAGAUUACAGGCAUGAGCCACAGUGCCUGGAUGAAGACUUUUUCAUGUCUUUUUCAACUGACUUGUUUUCUGCCUGCCUCUCCCUCCACCCUCACCUAAGCACCUUGAGGACCAUGUCUGUUUUGUCAAUCCACUGGUCAUCCUAAUAUAACUGGUUAAUAAAUCAUUGCUGAAUUUA
rnacentral:lncRNA from 1 species